UACGAAGGGGGCUAGCGUUGCUCGGAAUCACUGGGCGUAAAGCGCACGUAGGCGGGUUGUUAAGUCGGGGGUGAAAUCCUGGAGCUCAACUCCAGAACUGCCUUUGAUACUGAAGAUCUUGAGUUCGGGAGAGGUGAGUGGAACUGCGAGUGUAGAGGUGAAAUUCGUAGAUAUUCGCAAGAACACCAGUGGCGAUGGCGGCUCACUGGCCCGAUACUGACGCUGAGGCACGAAAGCGUGGGGAGCAAACAGG
rnacentral:rRNA from 1 species